GGCUCGGUUCUAUUCGUAGGCUGCAACUCGCCUACGUGAAGGCGGAAUCGCUAGUAAUCGCAGGUCAGCAUACUGCGGUGAAUACGUUCCCGGGCCUUGUACACUCCGCCCGUCACACCAUGGAAGUUGGCCACGCCCGAAGCCGUUACUCCAACCCUUGUGGAGGAGGACGUCGAAAGUGGGGCUGAUGACUGGGGUGAAGUCGUAACAAGGUAUCCGUACCGGAAGGUGCGGAUGGAUCACCUCCUAACA
rnacentral:rRNA from 1 species